GACGAACGCUGGCGGCGUGCCUAAUACAUGCAAGUCGAACGCAGUGGGGACGGGUGAGUAACACGUGGGUAACCUCCCAUCAGAGGGGAUAACACUUGGAAACAGGUGCUAAACCGAUACUGCUUGAUGGCCCCGCGGUGCAUUAACUAGGUGGUGAGGUAACGGCUCACCAAGGCAACGAUGCCUAGCCCACCUGAGAGGGUGCGCGGCCACACUGGGACGUAGACACGGCCCAGACUCCUACGGGAGGCAGAAUUAGGGAAUCUUCGGCAAUGGACGAAAUUCGGACCGAGCCACGACGCGUGAGUGAAGAAGUUUUUCGGAUCGUAAAACUCUGUUGUUAGAGAAGCGGUAUCUAACCAGAAAGCCACGGCUAACUACGUGCCAGCAGCCGCGGUAAUUC
rnacentral:rRNA from 1 species